AGAGUUUGAUCAUGGCUCAGGACGAACGCUGGCGGCGUGCUUAACACAUGCAAGUCGAACGAUGAACCACUUCGGUGGGGAUUAGUGGCGAACGGGUGAGUAACACGUGGGCAAUCUGCCCUGCACUCUGGGACAAGCCCUGGAAACGGGGUCUAAUACCGGAUACUGACCCGCUUGGGCAUCCAAGCGGGUCGAAAGCUCCGGCGGUGCAGGAUGAGCCCGCGGCCUAUCAGCUUGUUGGUGAGGUAAUGGCUCACCAAGGCGACGACGGGUAGCCGGCCUGAGAGGGCGACCGGCCACACUGGGACUGAGACACGGCCCAGACUCCUACGGGAGGCAGCAGUGGGGAAUAUUGCACAAUGGGCGAAAGCCUGAUGCAGCGACGCCGCGUGAGGGAUGACGGCCUUCGGGUUGUAAACCUCUUUCAGCAGGGAAGAAGCGAAAGUGACGGUACCUGCAGAAGAAGCGCCGGCUAACUACGUGCCAGCAGCCGCGGUAAUACGUAGGGCGCGAGCGUUGUCCGGAAUUAUUGGGCGUAAAGAGCUCGUAGGCGGCUUGUCACGUCGGUUGUGAAAGCCCGGGGCUUAACCCCGGGUCUGCAGUCGAUACGGGCAGGCUAGAGUUCGGUAGGGGAGAUCGGAAUUCCUGGUGUAGCGGUGAAAUGCGCAGAUAUCAGGAGGAACACCGGUGGCGAAGGCGGAUCUCUGGGCCGAUACUGACGCUGAGGAGCGAAAGCGUGGGGAGCGAACAGGAUUAGAUACCCUGGUAGUCCACGCCGUAAACGGUGGGCACUAGGUGUGGGCGACAUUCCACGUCGUCCGUGCCGCAGCUAACGCAUUAAGUGCCCCGCCUGGGGAGUACGGCCGCAAGGCUAAAACUCAAAGGAAUUGACGG
rnacentral:rRNA from 1 species